CAAAGAUGGAAACAAGUGAAUUGAUAAAUGAAGCCUGAGAGCUGACUCUAGAAAAAUCGAAUAGAUAAUCUACUAACUUGUUAACCAAGAAGAAAUGUAAGAAAACACAAAUUCCCCUCAUAAGACUAGCCUUGGAUAAACCAGAAUUUACAGAGAACAAUUCUUACCAUUCUAAGUUAAAAGAGUUUGAAAACGUAGUUGAAGAAGCAGCCCGGGGGCACAGGCA
rnacentral:lncRNA from 1 species